rnacentral:rRNA from 1 species
AUGCAGGUGUUGUUGCAGCUUGGCCUCAGCCUUGUACUGCUUGCACCACAAUAUACUACUACAGCCGCGGCACCUAGCUCCCAGUGCCAGAGGCAAUGCGGCAACGUUGACAUACCAUACCCAUUCGGCAUCGGCGUGAACUGCUCACUCUCGAAACGGUUCACAAUCAAUUGCACGGUCCAAGAUGGCAUUCACAAGCCAUUCCGGGGCGACUUUGAGGUCCUUGAUAUUUCCUUGACUCACGCCACGAUCCGGAUGCUGAAUUACAUCUUGGGGUUCUGCUAUAACACCUCUACCAGAAGCAUGGAGUCCGUCGGCCGAUACGGUCGGCGUAUCCAAAUCCGAUCCGGACCUUCUUCUCCCCUCCGGCUCUCUGAUGCCAGGAACAAGUUCACGGUCAUUGGGUGCAACGCCCUUGCCUUCAUAUCUGACAAUGACACAGGCUACCAGGGCCUGGGUGUUGCAACAUGUCGUGACCCGUUAGAGUUGGUCGACGGUUCUUGCUCCGGGAUGGGUUGCUCUCAGACCACGAUACCAAACAAGAUUUACAACUAUGAAGUAGGCUUCUCGACAUUCGCUAACACAAGUAGGAUCUGGAGAUUCAACCGAUGCAGCUAUGCGGUGCUGAUGGAGGCAGCUGAGUUCAAGUUCGACGUCUCGUACAUAAACACCACAAAGUUCAACGACACAAAUGCUGGGCGGGCGCCUGUGGUAUAUGACUGGGCAAUAAGGGAUGUCGUGCGAUGUGAUGUCGCCCGACGGAACAAGACGGGCACAUAUGCAUGUCUCAGCAGCAACAGCAAGUGCGUCGAUUCAACCAAUGAUCAAGGGUAUAUGUGCAAUUGCACACAUGGGUAUGAAGGCAACCCUUAUCUUCAAGACGGAUGCACAGAUGUUAACGAAUGCAACUACAACCCAUGCCCUUCAGACGGCUUUUGCCACAAUAUUAUUGAAGAACACUGGUGUUCUUGCCGAGUAGGAAAAAGAUAUGUCAAGCAAAGCAACACAUGCAACCCUGACACCGGCUUCAUAAUAGGAGUUACAAUGGGAUUAUUUGGUCUAAUGGUUUUUAUUGUGAUUACUAUCUUCUGGGGACAACUGAUAAUUCAAAAGAGAAAAUUGAACAAAGUUAAGCAAGAGUAUUUUCGUCAACAUGGAGGCUUGCUUUUGUUUGAUAGGAUGAAAUCAGAUAAAGGUCUUGCUUUCACCGUAUAUUCACUAGCAGAGCUAAUUCAUGCCACUGAUAACUUUGACAAUAGUAGAAUACUCGGAAAAGGAGGCCAUGGAACAGUCUAUAAAGGGAUAAUAAAGAACAUGCCAAUUGCAGUUAAAAGAUGUGCAUUAGUCGAUGAUAGACAGAAGAAGGAAUUUGGCCAAGAGAUGCUCAUUUUGUCCCAAAUCAACCACAAGAACAUUGUCAAACUCUUGGGUUGUUGCCUUGAGGUGGAAGUUCCAAUUCUAGUGUAUGAGUUUGUACCACAUGGUACACUAUUCGAGCUAAUCCAUGGCAAGAACCACGCAUUGCAAAUAUCCUUCAACACUCUCUUAAGGAUUGCUCAUGAAGCAGCUGAAGGACUUUGCUUCCUGCAUUCGUACGCGUCUCCUCCAAUAAUUCAUGGUGAUGUGAAAACUUCCAACAUCCUACUUGAUGACAACUACAUGGCCAAAGUGUCGGACUUUGGAGCCUCCAUACUAGCACCGUCUGACAAAGAGCAGUUUGUCACAAUGGUUCAAGGUACUUGUGGAUACCUUGAUCCUGAAUACAUGCAAACAUGCCAGUUAACAGAGAAAAGUGAUGUGUAUAGCUUUGGAGUUAUCCUUCUAGAGAUCCUCACCGGUCAGUUGCCACUAAAGCUCAAAGGAUCCGAGACACAAAGGAGUUUGUCAUCAAUUUUUUUGUCUGCUAUGAAAGAAAAUAAUCUUGAUGCAGUGUUAGUGAGCCAUGUGAAAGGUGAAGAGAGCAUGGAGUUACUGAGAGGACUUGCAGACCUUGCUAAAAAAUGCCUAGAUAUGUGCGGUGACAAUAGGCCCUUUAUGAAAGAGGUUGCUGAUGAGCUCAAUAGAUUGAGGAAGCUUUCAAUGCAUCCUUGGGUACGGAUUGACUUGGAGAUGGAUGCUGAAAGCCUUCUUGGUGGAGAAUCUACUAGCGGUUAUGAAAUAGAAUUAAAUGGGUAUCCUAUGGGUGAAAGUGAGAACCAACCCAUAAACCCACGAAGUUCCUAUUAUGCAAGGUGA